GUUGCUAGUAAUCGCGAAUCAGAAUGUCGCGGUGAAUACGUUCCCGGGCCUUGUACACACCGCCCGUCACACCAUGAGAGCUGGUAACACCCGAAGUCCGUGAGGCAACCGUAAGGAGCCAGCGGCCGAAGGUGGGAUUAGUGAUUGGGGUGAAGUCGUAACAAGGUAGCCGUAGGAGAACCUGCGGCUGGAUCACCUCCUUU
rnacentral:ncRNA from 1 species